AUCAUUUUUUCAUAUUUAUCAAACGAGAGAAUUUCAGUAUGAGAGGAGGGAAGAAGUCCACGUGAAAAACUGAGAUACGUAUUACGUAUAUAUAUAAACUGGGAGAGCAGAUAAUUUGAUUUAGUUGAAAAUUCGCUUCAAUACUUUUAAAAGUUUGGUUGUUCUCAGUUAAAAUAAAAACAUGGUAGAUCAUAUCAUUGAAGAGGCUGAUAGAUUAUACAACAAAGGACAAUACAGGGAGGUGUAUGAAUAUCUGAAAAAACAUAAAACUUCACAAAACUGCAACAUACUGUCGAGGUUGGCUCAAGCUACCAGAGAUUUUGCAGUCAAAGUAAUUCACGAAAAAGAAAAAAGGAAAGAACUGAUAGAGGAGGCGUUAAACUAUGCUAAAGAAGCUUUAGGUCUUGAUGAAAAUAACUCUGAAGCUAAUAAAUGGUUUGCGAUCACCACAAAUGAUAUUGGAGACUAUGAUGGGAUAAAAGCAAAAGCCUCAAACAUGCUUAUGGUUCGCAAACACCUACAACAAGCCUUAGCCAUCAACCCAAACGAUGCAUUGGCGUUGCACCAUCUUGGUUUGUGGUGUUUCGAAUAUGCUGAUUUGGAUCUGAUGGCUCGGAAAAUAGUAGCACAAUACUUAUCACCAUCUCAAUGGCCAACCUUUGUAGAAGCUCUUAAUUACUUUAAACAAGCUGAAGAGACCAAACCCAAAUUCUACAGCGUCAACCUGAAGAUGCUGGCAAAAACCUAUCAAAGUUUGAAUGAUCGUGUUAAAGCAAAGUUCUACUAUCAAGAAACACUGAGCUACAAUGUUAUGAAUGAGGAAGAUAAAGAAGUUGUUAAAUACUGCAAGGAGCAGUUGAAAUCAUACUGAACUAUAUUUUAAUAGUUUACAAUAAUUAAUAUUCCACAAUUAUAUUCUCUUGCACUUGUGGUUUAUAUGCAUGAUUUUACAUAACUAUUAGUCGUUUAGUAUUGUUACCUGAUAGAUUGAUGUAUUAUUUCUAGAUCGUUUUUGUUGUAUAACGGUUUUUUAUGUCAUUUCCUGAAUCGUUCUGCUAAAGUGUGUUUUUAUUAUACGCACUUUUCAUGUAUACGGAUUUUGUAUAUAUUAAAAUAUAACAAACCUAAAUAAACCAGACAAAAAACAAUAAAGGGGGAAUUGAUUAGGCGAGUGUUUAACAUUAAAGACACCUGCAAACAAGUGGCAUGAUUAUUGAUUUUAAUAAAAUAGUAUACGUUGA